UACGAAGGGGGCUAGCGUCGUUCGGAAUUACUGGGCGUAAAGCGUGCGCAGGCGGCUUCUCAAGUCAGGGGUGAAAGCCCAGAGCUCAACUCUGGAAUUGCCUUUGAGACUGAGAGGCUUGAGUGCGGGAGAGGUGAGUGGAAUUCCCAGUGUAGAGGUGAAAUUCGUAGAUAUUGGGAAGAACACCGGUGGCGAAGGCGGCUCACUGGCCCGUAACUGACGCUCAGGCACGACAGCGUGGGGAUCAAACAGG
rnacentral:rRNA from 1 species